UAUGAGAUUUUGGUCAUAUCGCACAGCCCUAAGCGCAGGUGUGGGCAAUUAGGUAUUCCUCUAACAAACCUGAAGCUGCGAGUGCUUGGUCCAAGCGGGGCAAGUUGGUGUUCUUUUAAUUCUUUUCCGUGAAAGCUUGAUGCGGGUCCCCCUAAACUUCUGUUAGAACGGUGGGAAACAUUGCUCCUGUGAGAGCAGUAUAGUGGACUUCACCGCCACUGACCCACAUUUAUUAGGGUGUGACACGAACUUGUGGACAGAGUACCGAGCUGCUGCUUUGCCAGGUGGAUUUCUGGCUGCGGGCAAAGGACCCGACAUAUCAGUGUGUUUUAAUUUGUUUUAAACUGGUGUAAUUCGACAGACUGACUGCUGCGUCUGUCGGUUGUGUUUUGUGUUUUGUUUUAUUUUUCUGUAUCAGUAGGCACCACAGAUAUUGAUUCUUUUAGUGUUUUAACCUUUUUAUAUAUAUAGAUAUAUAGUCGCGGACGGUGAAAGCGCUGCGUGGAAAACAAAUCCUUGUUUUUUUGUUUUUUUUUUGUCUCACCACUUUUGCAUGCACAGCGGUGGGCCUGAGUGAAGACGGCACUGAAGAUUUGCCUUUUUCUACAGUGUUUUGCCCAUUUGGGGGUUAUGUGUGAGUUGCCGUUCCUUUUUAACCUGUGUGCUAUGUUGAUUUGUUCCUCACGGGCAAUCAUACAGUCUUAUUGUUUUUAAAUAAGGUGAAGUUUUUAAUUGUUUUUAAGUGCUGCUGUUACAUUGUUACUUUUAUUUUGUAUUAAAAUAAAUUCUUUUUAACUGACUGUGCGCCUACGGCUCUGUCCUAUUUUAAAUAGGUACCUACCACGG